rnacentral:rRNA from 1 species
GUAAAGAGCAUGUAGGCGGCUUAAUAAGUCGAGCGUGAAAAUGCGGGGCUCAACCCCGUAUGGCGCUGGAAACUGUUAGGCUUGAGUGCAGGAGAGGAAAGGGGAAUUCCCAGUGUAGCGGUGAAAUGCGUAGAUAUUGGGAGGAACACCAGUGGCGAAGGCGCCUUUCUGGACUGUGUCCGACGCUGAGAUGCGAAAGCCAGGGUAGCGAACGGGAUUAGAUACCCCGGUAGUCCUGGCCGUAAACGAUGGGUACUAGGUGUAGGAGGUAUCGACCCCUUC